GAUUAUAAGAUUUGCAAAUAUUUUGAAUAAGGGUUGUAAUUCAGCUUUGCUCUAUGCUUUAAACUUUCCUCCAGAAUUUCUAACUGUCUGCAACAAAGAGCUAAAACUAACAGUCCAUCUGUCAAUGUAUCGAUAAUGUUGAUUGAGCCAUUAAUGAUCUAUUCGAAGCAAAAUAAAAAGCCCAUCAUAUUACAGGAGCCUCCAGGAGCGUGUUCAAUAUUACUUAUUUUGACCAGUCCAAAACCAAAAAUGUUUCAUUUCCAGAACAGCAGAAACAGCUUGAUCCUUUAUGUGUGAACCGACUGAAAUAUUCAAACCCAAGCCUUUGUUUCCCGAAAUUAAAUCUCCUAUGAUGUCCAAAAGCAUCAGGGUGACAUGUUUUAUAUCUCUGAUUGAUCUACACCCGAUUUUUAAAAAGAAUUGCGCAUUUGAACAGCGUUUGGCAGCACAGCAGUGGCCGGAGACUGAACUGUGCUGAAAGGUGUUAAAAAGAGAUAAGAAACAUUUUUUAAACCACACUGCAUGAUGCCAUGACCGCUUUAAAUAAAACCAAAAAAAAAAAGAAAAAAGAUGUAGGAUGUUAAAAAAAACCCCGUUUGACCAGCAGUGGAUGUGCUGUGUGGGGAGGGUGCAAUGAUUCAUAGAAGUUUUAUACAAAAAGCUUCGACUAUAGCAUGAGAUUACACAGGAAAACCCUGCUGUCUGUGGGUGGAUCCUGCCUGUCAGCAGCAGGAGGACGACGAGGUGGACGAUAUAUGUGAGGACUGAGAGAGCGCACACAUCCCCGCUCGUACAGUGCAUGUCGCACUCUUAAAGGACACUCGCACUCAUGCAUCUAUAACAUCUCUGCUUCUCCUCACCUCCAGCAGCUCCUUGUCUUGGUCAGCACAGGAAAGGGUCUGAGAGCCUCAGAGAGGGGACAAAAAAAGGGCGGAUUUCAGAGGAAGCUGAACAUUGGAAACCACUGGGCUGAAGGAUGAAGACUCCUCUGUGGAGAUCUACACGGAAAAUACAUUAACGCAGGAAAAAAAGGACAAAAACAAAAACGAGGGAGACACACAAAGGACGAAUACACAUGCACAUAAACGAACAGGACAGCACAGUCUACAGCUACAACCCCAACCCAAUCCAGACUUCACCCCAGCCCAGCCCUGGCGCCCCCGGACGCCUCACACCUGUUGAGUGCUCACCAAGAAGCGGACCGCUUGGCGAGCACUGGAAUUGGUCGAGGAGUUGAGAUCCCGAUAGGAAGAGUUAAGAGUGAUGUAGCGCACAUCUCUGACCAUGAUGUCCUCCACACGGAUAUUAUACUUCCUGAAACAUGGAGGAGAAGAUAGAGGUUAAUGAGACACGAGAGCAUGGACACCUGCAAACAUAAGGGAAGGAAAUGAACGGGAAGAUAAGCGGAAGGAGAUGAAGAGGAAAUGGAAUAAAAAAAGUGAAAAAACUCGCAGAAUCACUGGAAAAGAGGAAAGCAGCAGCAGAAUCAGCAGACUCACUCAUGAUGUCCCAUCCCCAGCUCAGGCAGAUAAGGGAGCUUCUUGAUGCGAAUGAUGGAGUCGUACAGCGAUGGUUGGAGCGCCUGGGCCACGGCGUUGGCCAGGAUCACAGCGAUCAUCACAGGCAGGAUGUGUGAGAUCUGACCGGUCAGCUCGAACACUAUGACCGCUGUGGAUACAGUGUGGGUGACCGCUCCAGACAGAGCAGCAGCACCUGUGAAUGAAGGGAAAAUCUUUUAUAUCUGUCAGUCUCCUUGAAGCCAUUUACAUGGAGCUAAAUGGCAAAGAUGGAGUGUCUGAUCCACAGAAAAAGUUCAAAUUUACAUGUAUAUACAGAAUAUAAGGCAAAAUCUGAGUUUAUACAAUUCUAAUGAGAGUCAAUUGUAAUAAUGAGUCAACAUUUUGUGUGAACACCUUUAUUCUUCAUCAUAGCCUGAACUCUCUUAGGCAAGCCUGUUUUAAAACAGUCUACAGGAACAGCUUUUAAGGCUUCCUGAAGGGCAUUCAAAGCUCUUCUUUGAAUGUUGGCUGCCUUUUAUUUUGCUCUCUGUCAAGAUGAUCUCACACCAUUUCUACAACGUUGAGUUCUACUGUGUGUUUUUCCAUCAGGUAUGAUUUUAUU